AGAGUUUGAUUAUGGCUCAGAUUGAACGCUGGCGGCAUGCCUUACACAUGCAAGUCGAACGGCAGCGCGGGAGCAAUCCUGGCGGCGAGUGGCGAACGGGUGAGUAAUACAUCGGAACGUGCCCAAUCGUGGGGGAUAACGCAGCGAAAGCUGUGCUAAUACCGCAUACGAUCUACGGAUGAAAGCAGGGGACCGCAAGGCCUUGCGCGAAUGGAGCGGCUGAUGGCAGAUUAGGUAGUUGGUGGGGUAAAGGCUCACCAAGCCGACGAUCUGUAGCUGGUCUGAGAGGACGACCAGCCACACUGGGACUGAGACACGGCCCAGACUCCUACGGGAGGCAGCAGUGGGGAAUUUUGGACAAUGGGCGCAAGCCUGAUCCAGCCAUGCCGCGUGCAGGAUGAAGGCCUUCGGGUUGUAAACUGCUUUUGUACGGAACGAAAAGUCUCCUUCUAAUAAAGGGGGAUCAUGACGGUACCGUAAGAAUAAGCACCGGCUAACUACGUGCCAGCAGCCGCGGUAA
rnacentral:rRNA from 1 species